UUUUCUUCAACUCUUUCUAAUUUUGGUUGUGUUGUUUUUUCCCAAUAGCCACUGCAAGGAAGAUUUUAGGUAAUGCUGAUUUUUAGAGAUCUGGAAUUCAACUAUUACUGUCUUCUGACAUCAGCUGGAGGUGUUGCAGGACCAAUUAGAAGGCAAAAAUUCAACUGGAUAUGAAGAUUGCAUUGGUGGAUUCUGGAUCUGAAAACAUAUCCAGGGAUAUUGUUUUGAUGAAUCUCUCCACUCACUGGAAAAGAAGACAACACAGAGUUCCCAAACUACUUGCAAUCUACCUGUGACAAAUUGAAAACAGGCUCACAUCGAAGAAUUUUUCUUUAGCUAGACUAUAGAGUUGAACAUAUAUUGCAUCAAUAGUGUCACCAAUUUCUUUAAUAACUUAAGUUUUUUAACGC